rnacentral:rRNA from 1 species
AGAGUUUGAUCCUGGCUCAGAACAAACGCUGGCGGCGUGCCUAAUACAUGCAAGUCGAACGGGGAAAGCCUUCGGGCAAGUACUAGUGGCGCACGGGUGAGUAACACGUGGGUAAUCUGCCUUAAAGUGGGGGAUAACUAGUCGAAAGAUUAGCUAAUACCGCAUAAGACCACAGGAUCUGCGGAUCCCGAGGUAAAAGG